UUUUGGAACUCCAGUUUGGCUUCACGUUGCUGUGAGUCUGGAGUCCCGGGUUGCCUUUAAGAAAUGUAGAUGUAGAUUGCGUUGCGUAGAAUAGAGACCCAAGAGAAAAAUAUAGUGUUGAAUAAGAU